rnacentral:tRNA from 1 species
CAGAGAAUAGUUUAUUUAAAAUAUUAAUUUUGGAGAUUAAUGAUAAGUUUAUACUUUUCUCUGA